GGUUUGAAGUUUCCUCGGCAGUUAACUGCUGCCGGUUUUUUCAAACUUCGACAGUUAACUGCCGAAGGACAU
rnacentral:pre_miRNA from 1 species